CGUCUUUGUUGCUCUAGAAUCACGUCUGAACGUCAACAGCUGGAAAGCCCUGCUGCUACUGCCACCCUCGCCUGAGGUGAGAUGCAGACACCACAACUGGAGAAGACCUGGGCCACCCAGAUAUGUUAGGAGGCACACACAGGUAACUGUUAGUGAUGGAGCCCUGCUCUCCUGAAGACGGCUGAACGCCUGCCUGCCCAUGGGAAGCAGUGAAUGAAUCCCUUGUUUUGCUUUGCUAGCAUGCAUGACUUUUGCUUUGCCUAUUAAACUGUCUUUAUCUCAA